rnacentral:rRNA from 1 species
CCUACGGGUGGCAGCAGUGAGGAAUAUUGGUCAAUGGCCGAGAGGCUGAACCAGCCAAGUCGCGUGAGGGAUGACGGCCCUACGGGUUGUAAACCUCUUUUGUCGGGGAGCAAAGAGAGUCACGUGUUGCUCAUUGAGAGUACCCGAAGAAAAAGCAUCGGCUAACUCCGUGCCAGCAGCCGCGGUAAUACGGAGGAUGCGAGCGUUAUCCGGAUGUAUUGGGUUUAACGGGUGCGCAGGCGGUGGGGCAAGUCAGUGGUCAAAUUGCGGGGACCAACCCCGUACUGCCGUUGAAACUGCAUCCCUAGAGUGCGCGAGAAGUAUGGGGAAUGCGUGGUGUAGCGGUGAAAUGCAUAGAUAUCACGCAGAACUCCGAUUGCGAAGGCAGCAUACCGGCGCGCAACUGACGCUCAUGCACGAAAGCGUGGGUAUCGAACAGGAUUAGAUACCCGAGUAGUC